UACGUAGGGUCCGAGCGUUGUCCGGAGUUAUUGGGCGUAAAGAGCGUGUAGGCGGCUAGGUAGGUCCGUUGUGAAAACUCGAGGCUCAACCUCGAGACGCCGGUGGAAACCAUCUAGCUAGAGUCCGGAAGAGGAGAGUGGAAUUCCUGGUGUAGCGGUGAAAUGCGCAGAUAUCAGGAAGAACACCCGUGGCGAAGGCGGCUCUCUGGUACGUGACUGACGCUGAGACGCGAAAGCGUGGGGAGCGAACAGG
rnacentral:rRNA from 1 species